rnacentral:rRNA from 1 species
GAUGAACGCUGGCGGCGUGCCUAAUACAUGCAAGUCGAGCGAACAGACGAUGAUCUUGCUCCUCUGACGUUUGCGGCGGACGGGUGAGUAACACGUGGAUAACCUACCUAUAAUACUGGUAUAACUUCGGGAAACCGGAUCUAAUACCGGAUAAUAUAUUGAACCGCAGUGUUCAAUAGUGAAAGUCGGUUUUGCUGUCACUUAUAGCUGGAUCCGCGCCGCAUUAGCUAGUUGGUAAGGUAACGGCUUACCACGGCAACGAUGCGUAGCCGACCUGAGAGGGUGAUCGGCCACACUGGAACUGAGACACGGUCCAGACGCCUACGAGAGGCAGCAGUAGGGAAUCUUCCGCAAUGGGCGAAAGCCUGACGGAGCAACGCCGCGUGAGUGAUGACGGUCUUCGGAUCGUAAAACUCUGUUAUUAGGGAAGAACAAAUGUGUAAGUAACUAUGCACGUCUUGACGGUACCUAAUAAGAAAGCCACGGCUAACUACGUG